AUUGAACGCUGGCGGAAUGCUUUACACAUGCAAGUCGAACGGCAGCACGGACUUCGGUCUGGUGGCGAGUGGCGAACGGGUGAGUAAUGUAUCGAAACGUGCCCAGUCGUGGGGGAUAACGUAGUGAAAAUUACGCUAAUACCGCAUACGAUCUAUGGAUGAAAGCGGGGGAUCGCAAGACCUCGCGCGAUUGGAGGGGCCGAUAUCAGAUUAGGUAGUUGGUGGGGUAAAGGCCCACCAAGCCAACGAUCUGUAGCUGGUCUGAGAGGACGACCAGCCACACUGGAACUGAGACACGGUCCAGACUCCUACGGGAGGCAGCAGUGGGGAAUUUUGGACAAUGGGCGAAAGCCUGAUCCAGCCAUUCCGCGUGCAGGAUGAAGGCCCUCGGGUUGUAAACUGCUUUUGUACAGAACGAAAAGGUUUCUACUAAUACUAGGAGCUCAUGACGGUACUGUAAGAAUAAGCACCGGCUAACUACGUGCCAGCAGCCGCCGUAA
rnacentral:rRNA from 1 species